UACGGGGGGGGCAAGCGUUGUUCGGAAUUACUGGGCGUAAAGGGCUCGUAGGCGGCCAACUAAGUCCGACGUGAAAUCCCAAGGCUUAACCUUGGAACUGCGUCGGAUACUGGAUGGCUUGAAUUCGGGAGAGGGAUGCAGAAUUCCAGGUGUAGCGGUGAAAUGCGUAGAUAUCUGGAGGAAUACCGGUGGCGAAGGCGGCAUCCUGGACCGGCAUUGACGCUGAGUGAGCGAAAGCCAGGGGAGCAAACGGG
rnacentral:rRNA from 1 species